rnacentral:rRNA from 1 species
AUUGAACGCUGGCGGCAUGCCUUACACAUGCAAGUCGAACGGUAACAGGUCUUCGGAUGCUGACGAGUGGCGAACGGGUGAGUAAUACAUCGGAACGUGCCUAGUAGUGGGGGAUAACUACUCGAAAGAGUGGCUAAUACCGCAUGAGAUCUACGGAUGAAAGCAGGGGAUCGCAAGACCUUGUGCUACUAGAGCGGCCGAUGGCAGAUUAGGUAGUUGGUGGGAUAAAAGCUUACCAAGCCGACGAUCUGCAGCUGGUCUGAGAGGACGAUCAGCCACACUGGGACUGAGACACGGCCCAGACUCCUACGGGAGGCAGCAGUGGGGAAUUUUGGACAAUGGGCGCAAGCCUGAUCCAGCAAUGCCGCGUGCAGGAUGAAGGCCUUCGGGUUGUAAACUGCUUUUGUACGGAACGAAAAGCCCUGGGUUAAUACCCUGGGGUCAUGACGGUACCGUAAGAAUAAGCACCUGCUAACCACGUGCCAGCCGCCGCCGUAA